UUGACGAAGGCAUUUCCCCUCCGGCCCCUCCCCCCUCCUUCUGGUAUUUAACGGCUAUGUUCAUUCCGAUCGCGUAGCGGCGGCGGCGGCGCGGCUCCGACGGUGAAUUGCAGCCGCUAAGUGCUUUCCGCGUCUUUUUAUCCGUUGGAAGUGAAUCUCGCGUGCGAACGAGCGUCGGGAGUGUCGAAUUGAGUGACGGGCGAUCGUCUCGAGUGCCCUGAUGGUGCAAGCGGUCGCGAUUAACCCGUCUUGCGACGUUCGAGGACGGCCGCGACGCAACCUACUCCUCUUCGGGCAUUGCAUAUGGCGGACAGGUGUUGUCGUUCGACGCAAGACGCAACAUACUGAAAGAACGUUGGACUGUACUUUGCAAGCUCCACUUCAUGUUCGUGUUCUGUGGAUUGCGCGAGGUCGAGUGAGGACUGAUUGAAAAGAACGCACAUCGGUAUGGAGCUUCAAGGAAUGACGUCGUAAUCGUUUUUCCGAUCCUCUCUAAGGAUGUUACGCGAAUUUGACUGAACGAUUCGAGGGCAAACCCAUACAAUACAUGCGCAGGAUCAAACGGCCCAAACCACCCUGAUGUGGAAGUACCGAAGUGUUUUAUUACUCACCAGUACAGCCGGUCUAUAAAAAAGGCUUUUCAUUACGCAAUGAAAUAAUAUGUGAGAUAGAAAAGCAUAGCCGUUUCUUUCUUCGACUAUAAGACCGAACGUGAGGUAGUUUAUUUCUUUUUCACACAUAUUUUUUAAGAGACGAAUAAUAAAUCGAAGAAGGAGAUUGAA